AGAGUUUGAUCCUGGCUCAGAUUGAACGCUGGCGGCAGGCCUAACACAUGCAAGUCGAGCGGAUGAAGAGAGCUUGCUCUUUGAUUCAGCGGCGGACGGGUGAGUAAUGCCUAGGAAUCUGCCUGAUAGUGGGGGACAACGUUUCGAAAGGAACGCUAAUACCGCAUACGUCCUACGGGAGAAAGCAGGGGACCUUCGGGCCUUGCGCUAUCAGAUGAGCCUAGGUCGGAUUAGCUAGUUGGUGAGGUAAUGGCUCACCAAGGCGACGAUCCGUAACUGGUCUGAGAGGAUGAUCAGUCACACUGGAACUGAGACACGGUCCAGACUCCUACGGGAGGCAGCAGUGGGGAAUAUUGGACAAUGGGCGAAAGCCUGAUCCAGCCAUGCCGCGUGUGUGAAGAAGGUCUUCGGAUUGUAAAGCACUUUAAGUUGGGAGGAAGGGCAUUAACCUAAUACGUUAGUGUUUUGACGUUACCGACAGAAUAAGCACCGGCUAACUUCGUGCCAGCAGCCGCGGUAAUACGAAGGGUGCAAGCGUUAAUCGGAAUUACUGGGCGUAAAGCGCGCGUAGGUGGUUUGUUAAGUUGAAUGUGAAAGCCCCGGGCUCAACCUGGGAACUGCAUCCAAAACUGGCAAGCUAGAGUAUGGCAGAGGGUGGUGGAAUUUCCUGUGUAGCGGUGAAAUGCGUAGAUAUAGGAAGGAACACCAGUGGCGAAGGCGACCACCUGGGCUAAUACUGACACUGAGGUGCGAAAGCGUGGGGAGCA
rnacentral:rRNA from 1 species